rnacentral:rRNA from 1 species
UGGGGAAUAUUGGACAAUGGGGGCAACCCUGAUCCAGCCAUGCCGCGUGUGUGAAGAAGGCCUUUUGGUUGUAAAGCACUUUAAGCAGGGAGGAGAGGCUAAUGGUUAAUACCCAUUAGAUUAGACGUUACCUGCAGAAUAAGCACCGGCUAACUCUGUGCCAGCAGCCGCGGUAAUACAGAGGGUGCGAGCGUUAAUCGGAAUUACUGGGCGUAAAGCGAGUGUAGGUGGCUCAUUAAGUCACAUGUGAAAUCCCCGGGCUUAACCUGGGAACUGCAUGUGAUACUGGUGGUGCUAUAAUAUGUGCGAGGGAAGUAGAAUUCCAGGUGUAGCGGUGCAAUGCGUAGAGAUCUGGAGGAAUACCGAUGGCGAAGGCAGCUUCCUGGCAUAAUAUUGACACUGAGAUUCGAAAGCGUGGGUAGCAAACAGG